rnacentral:snRNA from 1 species
AGCUGUGGGUGCAUUUUGAAUAAAACAUCUGUUACCCCUUGGUUGCCAAGGCUGAUUCAGCUGAUUGGCUGGCUAGGCAAGCGUCUCUGUGCUUUCCCAUGUCUUUAUGAGUAUCCGUCUCGGAGCUGACCUCUUGUCAGAGCCACCUUCCUUGAUGGAGGAGGGCCAUUCUUCAGUCAGGGUUUUAUGAAUGUCUGCUCCCCCCAACUGGAACCUCCAAACAAGCUCCAGACAGCCUGUUUCCACCCCAUGUGAAGGCCCUUGUGUCGGCAUACAUGGGAAAGUCCUGAAAACCUGUUCCCCACCCCCUAGGUUUUCAACGCCCCAAAGCCAAAGUGG